rnacentral:rRNA from 1 species
AUUGAACGCUAGCGGGAUGCCUUACACAUGCAAGUCGAACGGAGUGGCGGACGGGUGAGUAAUAUAUGUGACCGUGCCCAGUAGAUGGGGAUAACUACUCGUAACUGAGGCUAAUACCGCCUACUAUUGGAGCGGCCGAUAUAGGAUUAGCUAGUGGGUGGGGUAAAGGCUCACCAAGGCCACGAUCCGUAGCUGGUUUGAGAGCACGACCAGCCACACUGGGACUGAGACACGGCCCAGACUCCUACGGGAGGCAGCAGUGGGGAAUUUUGGACAAUGGGGGAAACCCUGAUCCAGCCAUCCCGCGUGUAUGAUGAAGGCCUUCGGGUUGUAAAGUACUUUUGGCAGGGAAGCGGUAUCUGCAGAAUAAGCACCGGCUAACUACGUGCCAGCAGCCGCGGUAAUAC